AACGAACGCUGGCGGCAGGCUUAACACAUGCAAGUCGAACGGGUGUAGCAAUACAUCAGUGGCAGACGGGUGAGUAACACGUGGGAACCUUCCUCGUUGUACGGAACAACUCAGGGAAACUUGAGCUAAUACCGUAUACGUCCGAGAGGAGAAAGAUUUAUCGCAAUGAGACGGGCCCGCGUCGGAUUAGCUAGUUGGUGGGGUAACGGCCUACCAAGGCGACGAUCCGUAGCUGAUCUGAGAGGAUGAUCAGCCACACUGGGACUGAGACACGGCCCAGACUCCUACGGGAGGCAGCAGUGGGGAAUCUUGGACAAUGGGCGCAAGCCUGAUCCAGCCAUGCCGCGUGAGUGAAGAAGGCCUUAGGGUUGUAAAGCUCUUUUGCCAGGGACGAUAAUGACGGUACCUGGAGAAUAAGCCCCGGCAAACUUCGUGCCAGCAGCCGCCGUAAAAC
rnacentral:rRNA from 1 species